rnacentral:lncRNA from 1 species
GGAAACUGGCAAAGAAAGAAUGUGCUACUGGGCUAUCCAAAGACAUGAACAAAACUGCACUAAAACACAAUGUCUAUAUUAGACGUCAGUUAAUGCAAACACCGACAUCUAUAGUGAAAUUAGACGUCGGUUAGUUACAUGUUCAAAGUCUUUAUGUGCUCUUAGACGUCGGUUAUUGCUUGAUCCGACGUCUAUAUAUUGCCUUUAGC